rnacentral:rRNA from 1 species
UGAGCCAAGUUUAGGGUUUUCUCAAAACCCAAGCAGUAUUGAACUGAAGAGUUUGAUCAUGGCUCAGAUUGAACGCUGGCGGCAGGCCUAACACAUGCAAGUCGAGCGGAUGAAGGGAGCUUGCUCCUGGAUUCAGCGGCGGACGGGUGAGUAAUGCCUAGGAAUCUGCCUGGUAGUGGGGGAUAACGUCCGGAAACGGGCGCUAAU